ACUCAAAUGAAUUGACGGGGGCCCGCACAAGCAGCGGAGCGUGUGGUUUAAUUCGAGGCUACACGAAGAACCUUACCUGGGUUUGACAUGACGCUAGUAGGGAAGCGAAAGCAGACCGACCCGCAAGGGAGGCGCCACAGGUGCUGCAUGGCUGUCGUCAGCUCGUGCCGUGAGGUGUUAGGUUAAGUCCUGUAACGAGCGCAACCCCCGGAAGUAGUUACAAGUGGUCUACUUCGACUGCCCGUGACAAGCGGGAGGAAGGUGGGGACGACGUCAAGUCAGCAUGGCCUUUAUAUCCAGGGCUACACACACGCUACAAUGGCCGGUACAAUGGGUCGCCAAGCCGCAAGGCGGAGCUAAUCCAAUCAAAGCCGGUCACAGUUCGGAUUGUGGGCUGCAACCCGCCCACAUGAAGUCGGAGUUGCUAGUAACCGCAGGUCAGCUAUACUGCGGUGAAUACGUUCCCGGGCCUUGUACACACCGCCCGU
rnacentral:rRNA from 1 species